rnacentral:lncRNA from 1 species
CGCUGGUCCGCGGAAGUCUGGCUCGGCUGCUGGAGGGGAGCUGGGCCUGCGGAGGCCCGGGCGUGGGGUUGGGCGUCUGCCUACGGAGCUCCCGCGGAGCCCCUGCAGGGUUGCAGGUUAGAGGACUUGGUCUGGUUUCUCCUUUCACCAUGUGGGUUCAGGGAUCACCAUCAAGCUUGGCAGGAAGGCUUUUACCAGCUGAACCGUGCUGAGGCCCCAUGUCCUUUGAUUUUGUUUUGUUUUGUUGUGUUGAGACAAGGUUUCUCUGUGUAGCACGUUGUAGCUCUGUAAACCAGGCUGGCCUCAAACUCAGAUUUGCCUUCCUCUGUUUCCCAGUGUUAGGAUUAAAGUCAUGUACCACCAAGCCAAGCUGGUUUGUUUGUUUGUUUGUUUUUUGUUUUAAUUACAAGUUUUGUUUAGUUUAAUUACAAGUUAUUUACUGAUGUUUAAAUAAUAAUAACUUUAUUGGCAUAACUCCCAUACUCUGUAACUUACAUAUAAGUAUACAGUUCCGUUUAGAACAUUUGGUUGUGCAGCCAUCACAUUUGAGACUGUUGAUUCCACCAGAAACUUUGUAUUCAUUUAUAGUGUUCUACUGCUGUGAAGAGACCAUGGCAACUGUCCUUCUAGAGAGCAUUUAAUUGGCGCUUGCUUACAGUUUCAGAGGUUUAGUCCAUUCUCCCCAUUGGUUAAGAUCAGUGUGUUGCUCCUGCACAGAACCCUAAUAUGGUGCCCAGCAUGCAUGUGGCUGCUCAAAACUCUGUAAUUCCAGGCACCUCAGGACACUGAUCCACAUGUGGGUUUCUCAUACACAUAAAGUGAAAACCAAUCUUAAAAAGAGAAAGUCCUGACCUGGAUGGUGAACAUUUAACAUGACCCAUGUCCAGUUGUCUGGAAGAAUUUGAGGAGUUGGCCCUAUUUCUUCUUUUAAAUGUCAGAGCCACCAGAGCUUAGGGUGUCCCUGAUGGGAAGGUUGUAGCUACACAUUCAGUUUCUUUAACAGUUGAACUCUGGUUUCUGUGGCUGAGAGAGUGUUGGUGAUUUUUAGACUCUGUUGGGGCAAUGCAUCUUUUAUUUCUAAGAUCAGAAAUCUGAGUCUCCCAUCCAUUUCUCCUGACUAGUGUGCUGUGCUGGUUAGGGUUUGCUUUGUUUUGUUUUGUUUUUGUCCAACGGCCCAGCCUGUUGUGGGUGGCGUCACUCCUGGGCAGGCGAGCCUGGGAGGUGUAAGCCAGCAAACUGAGCGAGCUAUGGGGAGCAAGCCAGAAAGCAGCACCCUCAGUGGCCGGCCUCUGCUUCAGCUCCUGCUUCUAGGUUCCUGCCUUGACUUCCUGUCAUAAGACGCCGUAAUCCAGACUUGUAGACCAAACAAACCCUUUGCUCCCCAAGUUACUUUUGGCCAAGGUACUCUAUCACAGCAACAGAGAGCAUACCAAGAUAUUUUGCAAGAAGUUUGUCAGUUUAUUGAUAUUUCUCAAAAGAAAAAAACUUUCAAUUUGAUUUUUAGCUAUUAUUUUAAAUUUCUUCCUGUUGAAUUGAGAAAUGAUUGAACCCGUUUUAAAUCUUUUACAUCUAUAUUGAGAUUUUAUCUUUUCUAUUACUAUUAUUAUUAUUAUUUGUUGCUGUUUUCAAGACAGGAUCUCACUAAGUAGCCCUGGUUGUCCUGGAACUCAUUCUGUAGCCCAGGCUGGCCUUGAACUCACAGAGAUCCGCCUGCCUCUGCCUCCGGAGUGCUGGGAUUACAGCCCAGCCUGCUGUUAUGACUUGCACUUACCUAUUUUUAGUUUAUUGAUUUUUUCCCCUUCUAUUUUCCAUUUCCAUUUCUUUUUAUUUUCAGUUUUACACCGUGUUAUGUGGCUUUUCAUCUCAUGAUGGGAGCUGGCAUUGAUUUGAAACCUUUUAGGAGUUCGAUAUAGGCUAGAGCUGAGGUGUAGCCGGCUUGGUGGAAUGCUUGCCUUGCCUUCAUGAAGCUGUGCUGUCAAUUGCCAGCACGGUACACAACCAGCUGUGGUGACACAAGCCUGCACCAGCACUCUGGGAGUAGAGGCAAGAGGAUAAGAAGUUCAAGGUUAUCCUUGGCUACAUAGUGAAUUAGGGAUGGCCUGGGCUAUGUAAAACCCUGUCUCAAAUGAGCUGGGCGGUGGUGGCGCACGCCUUUUAUCCCAGCACUUGGGAGGCAGAGGCAAGUGGAUUUCUGAGUUCAAGGCCAGCCUGGUCUACAAAGUGAGUUCCAGGACAGCCAGGGCUACACAGAGAAACCCUGUCUUGAAAAAACAAAAACAAAAACCCAAAAACCAAAACAACAACAACAAACCCUGUCUCAAAAACAAACAAAACGGUUCUAAGUACUAUGCAUCUAGAAAUGUCUCAAAUAUUUUAAGUUGGGGCUGGUGAGAUGGCUCAGCAGGUAAGAGCACCCGACUGUUCUUCUGAAGGUCCUGAGUUCAAAUCCCAGCAACCACAUGGUGGCUCA